rnacentral:antisense_RNA from 1 species
AACAGUCGCAAAUGGAAUUUCAAGAAACAUUCUAUAUACACUGCCUCUAGGACUGGGACAGAUAGCCACUGAGUACCUGCUUCAAAUCACCCUGCACGUUUUCUCUUUGGAAAGAUAAGCACUGGAGAACCAUCUCGUUACCUUCAGCAAAAAUGGAAACAAAUCAAGACAUUAAGAAUGCCACAGUGGACAGCAGUUAUGCAAGGUUCAGCAGAGGAAGUUUUCAAGAUGGUGUGCCUCACUAGCCAGAAAUCAGAAAAGAUCGAAGCUAGCCUUUUCAUCUCAGCUGCUCCUUAAAUCAGUGCAACCCCUCCAAAUUAAUGUGAAUUGAAACAUGCAUUGCUUUUCAACUUAAUUGAAUACUUACUAUAUGUGAACCACUGCACAAAAUAGGGGAAGAAGAUGUGGGAGACAAAGAUGUGGAGCCUGUCUUCAAUAAAUUUACAGUUAGUUUCAGGGUACAUUGUUUUUCUUCUGCUGUUAAUUAGGUGUAUCCCCAAGACAAUAAAUACAUGAAUGGAAAAGUA